UCUUCGUAGGACCUAUGUAGCGAGGACCCGAUGCCAGGUCCAGUGGACAGACUUCAGACGUCUCUGUGUGUCCGGUCCUGUCUCUGGUUGCCUGGUUACAGACGCUGCUGCACCCGCAUGUUUAAAGAUGUCUACGCCUGAAACUCCACCACAUUCAAAGAAGCAAAAACGUUUGCAAAUGUACAGACUGGAGUGGGAAGAGUGGAACUCCUGGCAAUGGAUACAAGGCAAACUGUGUUUUCUGUUGCUCAUGGACUGGCUGAAGUAAGGCAGCAUCAGGAGACAAACAUGGAGGAAAUAUGAGAACAGAGAGAACCCAACCAGCAGGUCACAGUUUAUCAUCAUCUAAUCAUCUCCUGAAGUCCAUAUGGUCCCUCUCUAUCUCCCCACACAUCCACCAACCACUGGAACACAUCUCCAAAGUUCUGCUGGGCCAGCUCAGCUUCCCCUCAGAAGAAGUGCUGCCACCUGCCAGAUGAAGGAGCCUUUUGAGAGGCAGCUGGCAUCGUGAUUGGACUGUACUUUGGUCUGUUCCAAUCCAGCUUCAGCUCCAGAGACGGCAGGCGGGACGAGUCAACGGAGGCCUGGUGGACGAAGGCAUGCAGCUGAGUACAAUCCAGAAAACAACAGAGGAGGAGUGCAGCGGCCCAGAGCCAGAACAAGCAGAGUAGCAUCGUAUGUCUCUGAGAAAACAUCAUAGUAUAGCCUUUGACCAAAGAACUACAGACUCUUCACAACCUGCUCAAACUCUUGGUACAGGACCUCACCACACGGGUCAAGAAGGUUUCUGUCUCAUUUCUACUCUGAAGCUCACCUUCUCCUGCUCAAACUGCUGACAAAUGUUUCUGCUGCUCUAAAGUCUGCUCUCCAGAACUUCCUAAAAACUCUCAAAGUCUCUUCUGCUGCAGGUUGCUUUGUAGAACUGUUGCAGAAAACCUCACUAAACCACAUGGAGGGGCCUCAAGAUAGUCGUCCAAAUGAAACCGUACAAAAACCAAACUAGCACAACCCAAAUGCUAAAGUCUCCUGCAGCCUACCAGAGAACCUCUGAGAACAGAGAAUCAGGACAGGAACUCUUACCUUCUGGACAACCAACGCUGGUUCACAAACAAGAAUACAGAAUGUGUCUGACCAAAAACCUCUAAAGACUCACUACAGCCAAGAUAAAGACACAACUCAGCUGCACCAAAUCCACUAAUCACUGCACACAUUAGCACCAUGUGCUAACUGUGGCUAAAGAACCACAUUUACCAAGACAACUAUCCAGUACAGAGCCCUAAAACACACCAAGAAACACAUUAAAGACGAUUUUACUGCUGGAAGCUGCAAGUCAACACCUAAAGAACAGACUAAAGCAACGGAGCCAAACCCAGUUCAGUGCUGAAGAGAAACAGAGGAAAUGUUUGUCUGCAGCUAAAUAAAGCAGGAAGACACUGAGCUGCUCAGGUGUUCCUGAUAACACCAAGCAGCCACCUGGACAGCCAAUAGGAACACAGCUUCCUGGAAGUCCAGAGGGUUGGGUUAGUGAAGGAAAUUUAGUUUAAAGUUGAAGCAGAAAGUUAAUAAAGAAAGUUGAAAACCACCUUCUGAUCCCUGAAAUCUCUGAGUUUUCACACAAAGAACACCUGAACAUGUCAAACUGGUUCCAUAGUAGAACCAUCAUUGUAAAAACGUCAUAGUAUGGUGUGUUGCUCAAAAAACAUUAGGACCCGGCUGUCAGGGUACAAACAUGUAAGAAACAUGAGAACAGAGAGAACCCAACCAGUAGGUCACAGUUUAUCAUCCCCCAGUCAUCUCCUGAAGUCCAUAUGGUGAGAGACAUCAGUAUCUGGUUGUUAAUUUACCAGAGGAUGCUUAUAAUCAUGCAGAUGUGGUCUGUACUCUACAGUAUUUUAGUGACUCAAUAAAUGCCUAAGUCAACCCGCCCGGCCAGCAGGCAGAUGGUUCCCCCACAUUAGAGCCGGGUUCUGCUCGAGGUUUUUUUCCCUGUUAAAAGGGUGUUUUCCUGCCACUGUCGCCUUUUGGCUUGCUCUGGGGGUUCAGGCAUAUUGGUUCUGUAAAGCGUCUUGAGACAAUUUGACUGUAAUUGGUGCUAUAUAAAUAAAAUUGAAUU